UCAGAGAACCGAAGGGUGAGAGAAAAAAACAAACAAAAAAACAAUAAAAAACACUCUCUAACUGUCAAUAUUGUCAGGAGAAAGAUGCGAAAAACAGAUGCUAGACGAGGAUAAAAUGAGAGAAGAAACCAGAGGGGGCUCAAAAGAACCGUUAUCUGCUCAGACCCUACUGUGACGAUUCUACCAAUCGCGAGGAAGAGUCCGUGAAUAUUAUGUCAGCACUCCGUCCAAACAACGCCGUCGACCAGAGCGCCAGGGCCAGCUCGCCAGAACUUUUCCUGCCUCACCACGAUUUCUACAACGAUGAUUUCACGCAAGUGGACUACGACGCUAUCGAUAGCACGGUGAGGAGCACCAUAAAUCCGGCCGUUUUCCAAGGCGAUUUAGACGCCAUCCUCCCCGCAGAACCUCCGCUGCCGAUCG